rnacentral:lncRNA from 10 species
GUUCUAUGGUGACAGCUACAGGAGGAACCGUUCUGACUCCAGAGCAAACUCUUGCACUGAGCCUGCCCUAGACCACCACACCUCUAACAGACCCUCUUCCUGGACACAGACCUGGAGAGCACUCUGGGUGUUAUGUAGGUCUUAAGGGGGACCUGCUGACAGCUGCUGUGUGGCCUGAGAUGGAGCAUGGAGGAGCAGAAUGGGCGUGAAUCUCCCAGGACCUUCCCUUAGCCUCAGGAAUGUCAACAGCUCCGUAUAAGGGCAGAACCACCCCUCCGCCCCUGCAUGGAGUGUGUAUAUAUAUAUACACAGAGCUAGAUGGAAAGAGACUAAUUUUGCAAAAUCUGCACAAAAAUCGGCUGAAUUUAUGUUUCCCCUGCAAGAGAAAUGCUGCUGAGUGGAAAUAAAAUGCAGGAUUCCUGGGUACUUCUAUUACCUUUUCAUGUCACUGGCAGUGACUGAUGGCAAAAAGUAAGAUUGCAAACGGAAUCGUUUUUGCUUUGCCCGGAACAAACUCCGCCCGGCGAUGGAGCCUCCUUCAAAUCUGCAGUUCUCCCUAGUGUCACCAACAGCAGCCGAGAAAGAAGCUGGGAGAGCAGCCAGUGUGGAGGAGAGAGCGUUCACCCAGCCCAGGCCCUGGGGGUCCGUCCUUCACCUCAAAGCAGGGGCCCCUGCGGGCAAAAGGAAAUCCAGUUUGAUUUAAUAUGGUUCAUUUUUCUUCCUUGUUUUAAUCACGGAGUAAAAAUAAUAAUAAACUCGCCUU